GAUCAUUACGUAUUCUUGUAGGCCGGUCUCUCUGGACCGGUUCUAUUCAACCCCUGUUUUUUGCGUACUUUUUUUGUUUCCUCGGUGGGCUUGCCUGCCGGCUGGACAAUUUUUAACACUCUUUUAUGUUAGCAAUCAGCGUCAAAACAAAUACAAUAAAAUUGUAACAACUUUCAACAACGGAUCUCUUGGUUCUGGCAUCGAUGAAGAACGCAGCGAAAUGCGAUAAGUAGUGUGAAUUGCAGAAUUCCGUGAAUCAUCGAAUCUUUGAACGCACAUUGCGCCUAUUGGUAUUCCAAUAGGCAUGCCUGUUCGAGCGUCAUUGUAACUCUUCAAGCUCUGCUUGGUGUUGGGCACUGUUUUAGUCAAUCAAACGAAACAAAACUUGCCUUGAAUGAAUUGGCAGCCCGGCCAUUCGGUUGUUUUUGGGAGCGCAGCACAAUUUGCGUUCCUCGCCGAUUAGUGGCGGGCGUCCAGAAAGCUUAUUUUGACGUUUUGACCUCGGAUCAGGUAGGGAUACCCGCUGAACUUAAGCAUAUCAAUAAGCGGAGGAAAAGAAACCAACAGGGAUUGCCUUAGUAACGGCGAGUGAAGCGGCAUCAGCUCAAAUUUGAAAUCUGGCUCUUUUAGGGUCCGAGUUGUAAUUUGUAGAGGGCGCUUUGGCGUUUGCAGCGGUCUAAGUUCCUUGGAACAGGACGUCACAGAGGGUGAGAAUCCCGUACGUGGUCGCUGGCAUUCGCCGUGUAAAGCCCCUUCGACGAGUCGAGUUGUUUGGGAAUGCAGCUCUAAAUGGGAGGUAAACUUCUUCUAAAGCUAAAUACUGGCCAGAGACCGAUAGCGCACAAGUAGAGUGAUCGAAAGAUGAAAAGCACUUUGGAAAGAGAGUCAAACAGCACGUGAAAUUGUUGAAAGGGAAGCGCUUGCAGCCAGACUUGCCUGUAGUUGCUCAUCCGAGCUUUUGCCCGGUGCACUCUUCUGCAGGCAGGCCAGCAUCAGUUUGGGCGGUUGGAUAAAGGCCUCUGUCACGUACCUCCUUUCGGGGAGGCCUUAUAGGGGAGGCGACAUGCAACCCAGCCUGGACUGAGGUCUGCG
rnacentral:rRNA from 1 species